UACGGAAGGGGCAAGCGUUGUUCGGAAUCAUUGGGCGUAAAGGGCGCGUAGGUGGCUCUGUAUGUCUACCGUGAAAGUGUACGGCUCAACCGUAUUUUGUCGGUAGAAACUGCAGGACUUGAGGCUGGGAGGGGCUGGUGGAAUUCCCUGUGUAGCGGUGAAAUGCGUAGAGAUGGGGGAGAACACUCGUGGCGAAGGCGGCCAGCUAGACCAGUUCUGACACUGAGGCGCGAUAGCGUGGGGAGCAAACAGG
rnacentral:rRNA from 1 species